GACGAACGCUGGCGGCGUGCCUAACACAUGCAAGUCGAACGAAGUGGCGAACGGGUGAGUAAUACGUGAGUAACUUGCCCUUCUAUAUGGGAUAAGCCUUGGAAACGGGGUCUAAUACCGGAUACAGGGGGAUGGGCUCGCGGUCUAUCAGUCUGUUGGUGGGGUGAUGGCCUACCAAGGCGGUGACGGGUAGCCGGCCUGAGAGGGUGACCGGGCACUUUGAUACGGUGUAACGUCCCAGGCGCGUACGGGGGGCAGCAGUUGGGGCUAUUGCACCAUGGGCGAAAGACUGAUGCAGCGACGCGGCGUGGGGGAUGAAGGCUGUCAAGUUGUAACCCUCUUGCGCAAUCGAUCGGGUAGGUGGAGAAGAAGCGCCGGCUAACUACGUGCCAGCAGCCGCGGUAAUAC
rnacentral:rRNA from 1 species